rnacentral:rRNA from 1 species
UGAGUACGAGAUGCUACGGCAUUGAAGCAGUCUAUGUCAGACUUCCAAGAAAAGCUCGGAAUAUCAUAAACAAAGAAUGCCUGUACCAUAACCGACACAGGUGGGUAGGUAGAGUAUACUAAGGGGCGCGAGAUAACUCUCUCUAAGGAACUCGGCAAAAUGACUCCGUAACUUCGGGAGAAGGAGUGCCUUCUUUUAGAAGGUUGCAAUAACAAGAUCCAAGCAACUGUUUACCAAAAACACAGGUCUCCGCUAAGUCGUAAGACGAUGUAUGGGGGCUGACGCCUGCCCAGUGCCAGAAGGUUAAAGAAGUUGGUUAGUUUCGGCGAAGCUGAUGACUGAAGCCCUGGUGAACGGCGGCCGUAACUAUAACGGUCCUAAGGUAGCGAAAUUCCUUGUCGGGUAAGUUCCGACCCGCACGAAAGGCGUAAUGAUUUGGAUACUGUCUCGGAGAGGGGCUCGGUGAAAUAGACUUGUCUGUGAAGAUGCGGACUACCUGCACCAGGACAGAAAGACCCUAUGAAGCUUUACUGUAACUUGAGAUUGAAAUUGGACUUUAUUUGCGCAGUAUAGGUGGGAGACGUUGAGAAUAUUCUUGCGGGAGUAUUGGAGUCAUCAGUGAGAUACCACUCUUGUAAUGUUAGAUUUCUAACUUUGUAUCAUUAUCUGGUCAAAGGACAGUUUCAGGCGGGCAGUUUGACUGGGGCGGUCGCCUCCCAAACGGUAACGGAGGCGCACAAAGGUUUCCUCUGAACGUGUAGAAAUCGUAUCUAGAGUGUAAAGGCAUAAGGAAGCUUGACUGUGAGACCUACAAGUCGAGCAGGGACGAAAGUCGGUCUUAGUGAUCUGACGGUGCUGAGUGGAAAGGCCGUCACUCAACGGAUAAAAGUUACUCUAGGAUAACAGGCUGAUCUCCCCCAAGAGUUCACAUCGACGGGGAGGUUUGGCACCUCGAUGUCGGCUCAUCGCAUCCUGGGGCGGUAGUACGUCCCAAGGGUUGGGCUGUUCGCCCAUGAAAGCGGUACGCGAGCUGGGUUCAGAACGUCGUGAGACAGUUCGGUCCAUAUCCGGUGUAGGCGUUAGAAUAUUGAGAGGAGCCUUCUUUAGUACGAGAGGACCGAGAAGGACAUACCUCUGGUGUACCAGUUAUCGUGCCAACGGUAAACGCUGGGUAGCUAUGUAUGGAGUGGAUAACCGCUGAAAGCAUCUAAGUGGGAAGCCCACCUCAAGAUAAGUAUUC